ensembl:lncRNA
AAAGAUUUAGAAUGGUAAUGGAGAUAGAGAAAAGAUAACUUUGUUAUUUUCUAUGUAAAUGAAACUAAUACCCUUGGAAUAAAUUCUGGAGCACAUAUAGGUAGAGGAGAGAAUGGUCGUGAAUCCUUCCCCUCUUGCUCUGAUGGGUUUGCUCUCUAUGUAUCACUGUUUCUGUCUGGGACUUUGGUAGACUUGCUGAGGUUUACCACACUAUGACAACAAGAGAACAUUACGGAACAGAGUGUUCUCUAGAGAUAGUAUGUCACAGCAAGUGCCUGCUGCAACCAUGGAACCUUAUGUAUGAACAAACAGUUAACAUUUCUCUGUGUUCACAAGAAAGGGCCCAGAAUAUAAGUGAGAAAGAAAGACUCAGCAGACUUGGCAGGAGGUUCACCAGUCUCUCAGCCUGGGUAAGAAGAACCCUAGGGAGAUGGGAGAAGCUUUGAAUAAAAUCUACACAGAAGGGAGCACAGCUAAGAGAUGGAAAGAUACUGAAUCCCAUGAUAUCCUUUGAAAUGCUGAGUGAAGAAGGGCCUGAAGAUAGAGCUACCUUUAUAGUUUUCCGAUACUUAGGUGAAUAUAUACCCUUGUUUACUUAGAUAAGCUUGAGUUAGAUUUUAUGUUAUCUGCAAAAGAGUACUAUAGUAGAUAUGUUCCAUUUGCCCUCCAACUUUACUCCCUACUCUUCUCCGUUCUGUCUAUGCCCCAGAGGGCUAACCUAUCUGGACUUCAUCAGAGAGUUCUAUUACUCUCUGGCUUCUGGUUAUGUUCAGCCAAUGGAAAUCUCUCUGGAAGAUUAAGUCAGGGCAGUUACUCCCUAUUAUUCUUAGGGGUUCUUACUCUUUCUUGCAGCGGAUGUAGAUCCUGUCGUGUCCUUCUCUCUCCAGGUUUGAAUAGCCAUUUUCUCCCUUCAUACACUCAGAUGUAGAGGAAUAGUACCACCCUACAACUGCUAGCCCUGGAUUAAAGCAUUGUGCUUAAUUGAUUUCCUGUAACCCUUCCCAUGCUUUUAUAGUCUAUUAAAUUAUCCUCAGUCAUCCAAUUUCAGGCUAAUCCAGAGUUAUCUCUUUGUGUCAGGACCUGAGUGGUUCCUACUCUGUUUAUUUCGGCUUCCCAGUGGCUUGGAUGGUAAAGAAUCCACCUGCAAUGCGGGAGACCUGGCUUCGACUUGGCUUCCUGUGGUCAGGAAGGUCCCCUGGAGAAGGAAGCUGCAACCCACUCCAAUAUUCUUGCCUGGAGAAUUCCAUGGACAGAGGGUCACAAAGAGCCAGACACUACUGAGUAACACUUUCACUUUCAAUAUAAAGGAAAAAAAAAACAUAAACCACAUAAAUAUGUGGUAGUUUAAAGACAAUCAGUCUUUCUAUUUGAAUAAUUUAUUGCUUGGUAUUGAAUGCUCAAUUGAGUAUCAAGACAAGGCUUCAGACUUUUUGCAAUGCAUAGAAUUUUAGGAAGUCUUUGGUGAGGGGAACUGAGGCCUGUUGUCAUCUAUAUGAGCUGG